CCUACGGGAGGCAGCAGUGGGGAAUAUUGGACAAUGGGCGAAAGCCUGAUCCAGCAAUGCCGCGUGAGUGAUGAAGGCCUUAGGGUUGUAAAGCUCUUUUACCAGGGAUGAUAAUGACAGUACCUGGAGAAUAAGCUCCGGCUAACCCCGUGCCAGCAGCCGCGGUAAUACGGAGGGAGCUAGCGUUGUUCGGAAUUACUGGGCGUAAAGAGUACGUAGGCGGUUAUUCAAGUCAGAGGUGAAAGCCCGGGGCUCAACCCCGGAACUGCCUUUGAAACUAGAUAGCUAGAGUCUUGGAGAGGUUAGUGGAAUUCCGAGUGUAGAGGUGAAAUUCGUAGAUAUUCGGAAGAACACCAGUGGCGAAGGCGACUAACUGGACAAGUACUGACGCUGAGGUACGAAAGCGUGGGGAGCAAACAGGAUUAGAUACCCUGGUAGUCCACGCCGUAAACGAUGAUAACUAGUUGUUCGGGCACUUGGUGCCUGAGUGACGCAGCUAACGCAUUAAGUUAUCCGCCUGGGGAGUACGGUCGCAAGAUUAAAACUCAAAUGAAUUGACGG
rnacentral:rRNA from 1 species